rnacentral:tRNA from 1 species
GCGGGCGCGCCGCGGUCGAUGGCAUCUGGGCGCUGCUGAUGCCGCUGGGCAUCAUCGGCGGCCUGAAGUUCGGCAUCUUCACGCCCACC